rnacentral:rRNA from 1 species
UCGAGGAUCAUUCGCAAUGGGCGCAAGCCUGACGAUGCGACGCUGCGUGGAGGAUGAAGGCCUUCGGGUCGUAAACUCCUGUCAUUCGGGAACAAUAAACUGUCUAUUAAUACUAGAUGGAAUUGAUAGUACCGGAAGAGGAAGCCACGGCUAACUCUGUGCCAGCAGCCGCGGUAAUACAGAGGUGGCAAGCGUUGUUCGGAUUUACUGGGCGUAAAGGGUGCGUAGGUGGUAUAGUGUGUCGGGCGUGAAAGCUCAUCGCUCAACGAUGAAAUGUCGCCCGAAACUACUAAACUAGAGUGCAGGAGAGGAGAGCGGAAUACUUGGUGUAGCGGUGGAAUGCGUUGAGAUCAAGUAGAACACCGGUGGCGUAGGCGGCUCUCUGGAAUGUAACUGACACUGAGGCACGAAAGUUGGGGGAGCAAACAGG